UCCAAAAUGUGAACUUGUCGUACAAACAGAUGAGCCUCUCCUCCCACAGCCUCGCCCGCCGCUCUCUCGCUGGCCACCGUGCCGUCGCGCGCCCCUCUCUCGCUGGUCACCAUGCCGUCGUGCGCCGCUCUCUCGCUGGCCACCAUGCCGUCGCCCGUAACUUCUACCCACCGUAACUUCUCAGCGGCGCCAAGAAGAAGAGGUAGAAAGCGACAGGGAGGCCGUGCGCCGGCAUUCCCGACUUGCGCCGACGUCUUCACCACGACAAGGAGGCCACGCGCCACCUCUACCCACCGGAUUUGAAGGCAGGGUCUUCGCUUCUCCACCGCGUCGACCUCGGAACCCAAAGUUCCAAAAUUUGUCCGCGGAGGUGGCGGGGACGGCAAGGUUCUCUUCAAGCUGGCCGCCGCCGAGGUCAACCGCGCCGACACGGUCUAGCGGCAGGGCAAGUACCCGCCGCCGCCCAACGCCUCCCUCUACCACUAUCCUCACGCCCGGGGCCAACGUGCCCCCGCGCUGGGUUGUCCGCAACCAGGCAAGAACGACUUGACAAAAACAAGACCCUGGCAUGUGUUCUUGUUCAUUCAGACAGCCACUAUUAGAGAUGAAGAGGACGGAGUGGAAGUAUGCAGAGGAACAUAUCUGCUGGCACUUGACAUCCAACCUGCCAGAGAGCAGAGAAGAAUGGUGGUCGAUCCAAUACAUUUGACUAAUCAGCUAAAUCGGUCGACGGCGAGCUGGUAGCUCGAUGACGGAAGGCGGAGGUCGAGGACGAGGACGGAGACGGAGACAGAGGUCGGGGAAGAUCGAUGUUCGAAAUUCAUAUCCGAAGUCCUAUUUUGAAAUGUUUUUAGAGUUUCGGGAUUUUCUGCAAAAAUUACUUUGUACUGCUGCUCCAACAUUUUCCCUGGGACGGAGGGGGUACAAGAUUAAGAUAUCUAUAAAAAGACCUAACAGCUAGAUAAUCGUCUUUAGUCAACAUCGACCGGCCUCAUGUUGCUAUGCGUUUGCUGUUUUGCGUGUGAGCUGGUUGCUGUACGCUGUUAUGUCCAGGCAUAUGAUGUGUGUGUGUUUACUGUUUUGCGUGUAAGCUGCUUGCUGCACGCUGUUCACGGGUGUGCAAAUCUGCCUAUCAAUAAUAGCGC